UACAGAGGUCCCAAGCGUUGUUCGGAUUCAUUGGGCGUAAAGGGUGCGUAGGCGGCCAGAUAGGUCCGUUGUGAAAACUGGAGGCUUAACCUCCAGCGGUCGAUGGAAACCAUUUGGCUAGAGUCCGGAAGAGGAGAGUGGAAUUCCUGGUGUAGCGGUGAAAUGCGCAGAUAUCAGGAAGAACACCCGUGGCGAAGGCGGCUCUCUGGGACGGUACUGACGCUGAGACGCGAAAGCGUGGGGAGCGAACAGG
rnacentral:rRNA from 1 species